rnacentral:rRNA from 1 species
GUUUGAUCCUGGCUCAGGACGAACGCUGGCGGCGUGCCUAAUACAUGCAAGUCGAGCGGAUCUUCAUUAGCUUGCUUUUGAAGAUCAGCGGCGGACGGGUGAGUAACACGUGGGCAACCUGCCUGUAAGACUGGGAUAACUUCGGGAAACCGGAGCUAAUACCGGAUAAUCCUUUCCCUCACAUGAGGGAAAGCUGAAAGACGGUUUCGGCUGUCACUUACAGAUGGGCCCGCGGCGCAUUAGCUAGUUGGUGAGGUAACGGCUCACCAAGGCAACGAUGCGUAGCCGACCUGAGAGGGUGAUCGGCCACACUGGGACUGAGACACGGCCCAGACUCCUACGGGAGGCAGCAGUAGGGAAUCUUCCGCAAUGGACGAAAGUCUGACGGAGCAACGCCGCGUGAACGAUGAAGGCUUUCGGGUCGUAAAGUUCUGUUGUCAGGGAAGAACAAGUACCGGAGUAACUGCCGGUACCUUGACGGUACCUGACCAGAAAGCCACGGCUAACUACGUGCCAGCAGCCGCGGUAAUACGUAGGUGGCAAGCGUUGUCCGGAAUUAUUGGGCGUAAAGCGCGCGCAGGCGGUUCCUUAAGUCUGAUGUGAAAGCCCCCGGCUCAACCGGGGAGGGUCAUUGGAAACCGGGGAACUUGAGUGCAGAAGAGGAGAGCGGAAUUCCACGUGUAGCGGUGAAAUGCGUAGAGAUGUGGAGGAACACCAGUGGCGAAGGCGGCUCUCUGGUCUGUAACUGACGCUGANGCGCGAAAGCGUGGGGAGCGAACAGGAUUAGAUACCCUGGUAGUCCACGCCGUAAACGAUG